GACACCAGAGCUGGAUAUCAGAUUUGAUGACCUGACAGGAACCUGGAGAGACAGGAUCCAGGGAGAAGGAACUGCUCCCCACCCUAACUCCCAGCCCCUGCAGGCAGCACAGUCAAUCCCCCUCAAACAGGGAAGGGGCACCCUGCCCUCAGGGCUGCAGGGACCAGUGCAUGUGUGGUCGCUUCUGGGCAUGCCCCUUGGGGAUCAGCAGUGCGUGGGUGGCUCCUGUCUUCUGCUCUGGCAUCUCCCAGGGUCACCCUGGACCGAACUCUUGGAUUGCUCAAUUUAUCAAGGCCUCACAUGCAUUGGAUCAAUAGCGGUCUUUCCCGACCUUUAGGACGACUACUUCAUAUACAUAGCAUUCACUUUUGCUGUGCUCUUCAGUCCUUCACCUGGUUUUACACGUUCUGCCUUUUCUGCCGCCAGGGAGGGCUCUGUGGAAAUGUCAACCAACUUUAUUGGCCCCAACAGUCUCUGUUCACACUGCUGGGCUCCGGGGAUAACUGGGAACAGUGGCAGAUGUCCCAAACACUCAGGGGAGCUCAGCCUCUUGGAGUGCCCUCUAUGGUGUCCAGGGCAAAGGAUGCAGAAAUGAAUCAUAUGCGGAUCGGACCAGUAUUUAUUGAUUGCCUUCAACAAAGAGUUGAUGCUGUUGAUGAGUUUGUGCCAGUUUUCUGAUAGAGGACAUCAGAAGAGAUACAAGCAAGUCUCUGAGCUUUGGAAAGCGUGGCUCCAAGCAUGACUCCACAACUCAUGAGGGUGUUGUACUCAUAUUACAAUGAAGCACCUGGGAUCCAUUUGCCAGUAUGCCUGAACAUUCUCAACAUAGGGCGCUUCACUGCAGAAUGAUUCUCUAGUAAUUAAUUCCCUUUGCAAACAAAGAAAUGAGA